AGGGUUUGAUCCUGGCUCAGAGCGAACGUUGGCGGCGUGGAUGAGGCAUGCAAGUCGCACGUGAAAGUCUUCGGACGAGUAAAGUGGCGAAAGGGUGAGUAACACGUGACUAUCUACCCCCGGGACGGGGACAACCACUGGAAACGGUGGCUAAUACCCGAUACGCCGAGAGGCGAAACGGCUGGGAUCCUACGGGACCAGUUGCCAGGGGAGGAGGUUGCGUCCUAUCAGCUAGUUGGUGAGGUAACUGCUCACCAAGGCAACGACGGGUAGCCGGUCUGAGAGGAUGGUCGGCCACACUGGGACUGAGACACUGCCCAGACUCCUACGGGAGGCAGCAGUCGAGAAUCUUCCGCAAUGGACGAAAGUCUGACGGAGCGACGCCGCGUGAAGGAUGAAGGCCCUCGGGUUGUAAACUUCUGUCAGAGUUCAAAGAAGGGCAGUAGGCGAAACACCUGCUGUUUGACAUUAGGCUCAAAGGAAGCACCGGCUAACUCUGUGCCAGCAGCCGCGGUAAUACAGAGGGUGCAAACGUUGCUCGGAAUCAUUGGGCAUAAAGCGCGCGUAGGCGGUUGCGUAAGUGCGGUGUGAAAGCCCCCGGCUCAACCGGGGAAUUGCAUCGCAUACUGCGUGACUAGAGCACGAGAGGGGAAAGCAGAACUCCUGGUGGAGCGGUGGAAUGCGUAGAUAUCAGGAGGAAUACCGAAGGUGAAGACAGCUUUCUGGCUCGUGGCUGACGCUGAGGUGCGAAAGCUAGGGUAGCGAACGGGAUUAGAUACCCCGGUAGUCCUAGCCCUAAACGAUGGGCACUAGCUAGGGGAGGUUUCGGCCUUCUCUGGCCCAGCAAAUGCGAUAAGUGCCCCGCCUGGGGAGUACGGUCGCAAGGCUAAAACUCAAAGGAAUUGACGGGGGCUCACACAAGCGGUGGAGCAUGUUGUUUAAUUCGAUGCAACGCGAAGAACCUUACCUGGGCCGGAAUGUGCGGAUGAAAGCUGUGAAAGCAGUGGACUGCCUUCGGGUGAAACGUGCACCGGUGUUGCAUGGCUGUCGUCAGCUCGUGUCGUGAGAUGUCGGGUUAAGUCCCAUAACGAGCGAAACCCCUAUCGUUAGUUGCCAGCGCGUUAAGGCGGGAACUCUAGCGAGACUGCCGUUGUCAAGACGGAGGAAGGUGGGGACGACGUCAAGUCAUCAUGGCCCGUAUGCCCAGGGCUACAAACGUGCUACAAUGGUCGGGACAGAGGGACGCGAAGUCGCGAGGCGGAGCAAAUCUCAUAAACCUGGCCUCAGUUCAGAUUGCAGGCUGCAAUUCGCCUGCAUGAAGUUGGAAUCGCUAGUAAUCGCGGAUCAGCUACGCCGCGGUGAAUAUGUUCCUGAGCCUUGUACACACCGCCCGUCAAGCCACGAAAGCUGGGAGCGCCCGAAGUCGCUAGCCUAACCGUAAGGAGGGCGGCGCCGAAGGCGAGUUCGGUAAUCGGGACUAAGUCGUAACAAGGUAGCCGUAGGGGAACCUGCGGCUG
rnacentral:rRNA from 1 species